rnacentral:rRNA from 1 species
GACGAACGCUGGCGGCGUGCUUAACACAUGCAAGUCGAACGGAAAGGCCCUGCUUUUGUGGGGUGCUCGAGUGGCGAACGGGUGAGUAACACGUGAGUAACCUGCCCUUGACUUUGGGAUAACUUCAGGAAACUGGGGCUAAUACCGGAUAGGAGCUCCUGCUGCAUGGUGGGGGUUGGAAAGUUUCGGCGGUUGGGGCUGGACUCGCGGCUUAUGAGCUUGUUGGUGGGGUAGUGGCUUACCAAGGCUUCGACGGGUAGCCGGCCUGAGAGGGUGAGCGGCCACAUUGGGACUGAGAUAGGGGCCAGAAUCCUACGGGAGGCAACAGUGGGGAAUAGUGCACAGUGGGGGGGAGGCUGGUGCGACGGCGCCGCGUGCGGGAUGACGGCCUUCGGGUUGUGAACCGCUUUCGCCUGUGACGUAGCGUGAGUGACGGUAAUGGGUAAAGAAGCACCGGCUAACUACGUG